rnacentral:rRNA from 1 species
AGCGAACGCUGGCGGUAGGCCUAACACAUGCAAGUCGAACGGCAGCACAGUAAGAGCUUGCUCUUACGGGUGGCGAGUGGCGGACGGGUGAGGAAUACAUCGGAAUCUACUUUUUCGUGGGGGAUAACGUAGGGAAACUUACGCUAAUACCGCAUACGACCUACGGGUGAAAGCAGGGGAUCUUCGGACCUUGCGCGAUUGAAUGAGCCGAUGUCGGAUUAGCUAGUUGGCGGGGUAAAGGCCCACCAAGGCGACGAUCCGUAGCUGGUCUGAGAGGAUGAUCAGCCACACUGGAACUGAGACACGGACCAGACUCCUACGGGAGGCAGCAGUGGGGAAUAUUGGACAAUGGGCGCAAGCCUGAUCCAGCCAUACCGCGUGGGUGAAGAAGGCCUUCGGGUUGUAAAGCCCUUUUGUUGGGAAAGAAAAGCAGCAGGUUAAUACCCCGCUGUUCUGACGGUACCCAAAGAAUAAGCACCGGCUAACUUCGUG